rnacentral:rRNA from 1 species
UACAGAGGGUGCGAGCGUUGUUCGGAAUUACUGGGCGUAAAGCGUGCGCAGGCGGCUUUGCAAGACAGAUGUGAAAUCCCCGGGCUUAACCCGGGAACUGCAUUUGUGACUGCAUGGCUGGAGUGCGGCAGAGGGGGAUGGAAUUCCGCGUGUAGCAGUGAAAUGCGUAGAUAUGCGGAGGAACACCGAUGGCGAAGGCAAUCCCCUGGGCCUGCACUGACGCUCAUGCACGAAAGCGUGGGGAGCAAACAGG